AUUUGCCAUUUAGGACUUCCCAGGGGCUGUGCCUUACUGAGCUACCAGGAGAGCAGCAGGGGCAGCCACCUGCCUGCUGAGAUGACACAGAAAUGCUUCUCAACCCCAAAUUUAGUGAGAGCCCUCCCAGCAUGUACAGGCACAUCCUGAAACCAAAUUAUGCCUCUGCAGCCCCAGUGGGACUUAUGGCAGCACAUCUCAUGUCCUUCAUGAGGCCAGUCUUUCAUGGAGACAAAAUGAAAACAUUAAAAAACCUGGAGUAAAACCAGAAGGAAAAAUAAAACAGGAAGAAAAUUAAACACUGGAAACUGGUCAAAACUGCAAAGCUAAGAGAUGUGGAUCCAAAAUAUGGAGCAAUUCUAAUCAGGGGUUUGGUUGUGGCUCAUCUGUAAUUGAAAUGAAGUAAAAAUCUGCCUGAGACAGUCAACAAUCUCAGCUGUUUCCGAGAUCUGGCUUUCAUUAAUUUCAUUAACAUCUAAAAUGCAUUCUUAUUGCUUGUUCUUAUGCUGAAGAGUAAGCGAAAGAAUAACACACCAGGAACCAGUUUAUCUUUGUCUUCGCAGAGGAGCAGAUGCAGUAUCAGUCUCAGGGGCACACAGACCCCUUGCAUGGAAAAUGACAGCAAAGAAAUUGUGCAAGUGUGGAAAUCUCUAGCCUGAAAAAUAAAUAAAUUUGAGCUAGUACUUCAAUCAUGCACUUUGGGGAGCCGCACUGAUAUUAUUAGUAUUAAUCAGUGGGACAAUCUCAAGCUACACUUUGCCAGCCUUGUUCCAGAGAAACAGUCAAAAAUUCAGAACUCGUAUGGAGCCCUCCUAAGAACCUGUGCUUUGUGAAGCCAGAUCUGGGGAUCCUGCAUAAGGCUCAUGCCUUUCCUGAUUCUCACGGAAGGAUAAAUAUCACAGACCAAGUUCCUGGGCAGAGGGAUGGAUUAAAUAUGCUCUAAUUGGGAGUGUGUAAAUGGCAUUAUGAGGGUAAAAUGGCAUUUCCACUCUUCCCUUCAAUUCAGACUUUUAAGAACAGGGUGAACAUGGGAACUGGGAGGCUGGCUCCUCAUGCCUCUGAAACAAAGCUGCAGCAGCUGAUGAGAAGAAUUUCUCGUGUGCUCCCCACUGCUGUGCAGGUGUUAAUACCCCAGCCCGUGUGGCAGAAGGGGCAGUGUGUGUCUGCAGGGAGGGCCGUGCCCACCCAGUCCGGGCUGUGCCCACCCGCCAGCCCCACCAGAACCUCUCACUCACAGAAGCCAGAUGCAGCAGCACUCCGGGGCACACACCAGUGCUUGGGAGGGGCAGGAAGCCACUUCCAGCCUCUGUAGGAUUAUCAGGGCACAGAAACCCUGGACAAACUUGUAGCCAAAUUCCCCUUGAUCUAAACCAUUUUGCCAGACUCCAUCUCUCCUCUAGUGUGACGCAAGUCACCAACAGGGCGACUAGAGGGUGCUACAACAUAUGUGGGCCUCAGAUUUCAUCCCCUGGCACUUAGAAAUUCGUGGCAUAAAUUAACUGUUCAGCUCUGUGAUGAUGCUGAUUUGCUUCACUUGGCAUAAGCAGAUAUUUUGCUACAAGAGAGAUGAUACUUUCUGAGACCUGUCAUCCUUGGGUUUUCAAAUCCACUGGCAUGUUUAAUAGCAAAAAAUAUGAAAGGCAAAAAUAGUCUUGUACAGAUAAAGACCUCUGUGUCACAAAUGACAAUUCAGUUUAAUUAAGCAAACUCACAUAUAUUAUAUUCCACCCAUAAAACUUAAUAUCAGCUAAAAAUUCCCAUCAAAUGCAAAUUUUCUUUAGUGAUUUAUUUAUGCAAUUGUGAGACAGAGAAAACACACAAAGCAGUGGGAGCUGCAGGCUGAAGUAAACAGUGCUGUCAGAAUAUGCAAAACAAGGGAAGAACACCAAAAAAAGAGAGGGAGAAGGAAGGGACAAACAUUCUCUGGUUGGAAAGUUAUUGAGUGUUUGAAGCCAAAGGGGAGUGGAAAGCUUGGAAAGGAAUUUCUACAUGAAACCUACAGACUCUACCCUAUUUCCACGCCCAGCAUCUCUCCCAUUUAGCUAACAAAUGAAAAAUCUUUUGGGGGGUAGACAUAGGGUUAGAUUUGUGGUUUUAAAGGUCAUUGCCUAAAACCAGCCCCGCAGCAGACCGGCUAUCCCACACUUUGAGGAGCGCUGGCAGUGAGGUAAUCCCUUAGGAAUGUGUGUGCGGUUGGAUGGCUGUGAAAAGAGAGCGGUCAGCUACCAAAGCUCUGUGCUGAAUAUUCACGUCACACACACACAAUCAUUUUUCUUGUUAAGUAUUGAGAAGAAUGGGAACAUUAUAAAUGCAGUAUCUUCUCUGGUUACAAGUUUAGCUGCUUUAAAAAGAUCUCACUCCCUGCUCCUCCACUCCACCAGCUGUGCUCCACCUCCAUUCCCAAACCAAAUCUGCACACACUGAACUUUAUAAGACAUAAAAAAACCGGGGGGAAAAUUAAAUACAACUGAACUAAAGCUGAACAGUAAGAAGUGUAAAAGAUGAUGAUGAUGCAGAAAAUUGUUAAAAGCAUUUCAAGGUCACUUGUCUAUCUAAAAAUGACUCUUUAUUGAACAUAUGGGGUUCCAUGCCACAUGACUGGGUUAUAUCCAUAUCCAUAUUCAAAGCAAGUGCUUUCCUGUCUACAUGUUGAGGAGCCAUUUUAGCCAACAACAGAUGAGUUUGCUUUGACAGUGCCAAGUAGUAUCGAUAGUGCUGGUUGUUAAUAUCUUUAUUUGCUAGAGGCACUUAGCAAUUUGUUGCAGGGAGACAGAGUAAGUGUUGAGCAGGCAUCCCAGCCCAAAAUCAAGAACAUAAUGGAAAGUUUCCCACUUAGUUUUUUAUCAAACCCUAAGCAGGAAAAAAAAUGCAAUAUAAUGCUUUCAGUUACUUUUCUGAUCAUUUGCCAAUAAGGCUAGACAGAUAAUCUUCCCUUUUAUCUUUUUUCCCCCCCUUCCUUUCUUCCCGUUUCAAUCGGCCUGCAUUGGCAUUUAUCUGUCCAUUUUCAUUGCACUUGGUCACCCUCUGCUUAGCUCAGGGGGCUAAGCCUCACGGUUUGUUUGCACAGAAGCAAGAUAACAGCACCUCACAGAAGUAAUUUUCAAAUUAAUGGUAUCUACAAAAAAGUGAGAAUUAGACAAAUCAAUGCCUCAUUUGAAAUUAAUAUUAUUUCUGUUUUCUAAAAAAAAAGUUCCAGAUACUUGAACUCACAGGACUAGAUUAAGUUUCUAGGUCAGUAAACUCCUGAUUAUGAGAUGAUUAGCUUGAAUGGCACAUUUAAAUUCCAAUUUCUUUUCUUGCAGGAAACAGUUUAAGCAUGCAAUCCUUGACUUAUUCUAGUACCUUUAAACUUACUAUUUAACAAAACAAAAGAAAGAAGGGUGGUGAAAAGUUGCCAAUCCACUUCAAAGCGUCUUCUAUAUUUGUGGGUAAGCGAAGUCCAAAAAGAAUUAAUGAAUGUACUCAGAUGAAAACUCACUGGGAACAAACUUUCUAGAACUAAGCAGCAAAAGUAUCAAACAGAUGCUCUGUACAAGGGGCCAGAAUGCAAAUUUACUUCAAAUGUAUUACAAAUGUUAGCCUUCAGCUUCUAAGCAUGCACACAGAAAUGUCUUUACAGCUGUAACUAAUUUCAGCACAGAGGUCUUCAACAACGUGGCACUGGGGAAGGUGCUGGAUGGUGUCUGGUACUGUUUAUUUCUAGCUGAAGAUUGCCCCACAGUGUAACUUCUCUCCCUCAAGAGACACUAACUCUCCACAGAUACUAACUGAUUGAGCCUUAAAAUCCAGCUGUUUCCAUUAGCUCAAAGCCCUCAGCUUUACCAGUGGGAAAACUGAGAUACAGCGCUCCCAAGGGACCCUAAGGUUCAAUUCCCUUUUCUGCUGAGGAAUUGAGGUCCCCUAUGAGACCACAUCUUAACACUAUCCCCAAACAUUUCCCAACAGGAUGUGAAAUGCCCACUUCAUACAAGGGGGAGGACCAUGUUUUCACUCUCCAUUAAUAAAGUUCAUUAACUCACAUAAAGGGUGCUUUCCAGGUUUCUAUCUCUACCACCAUGACUACAGCAAAGUCUGCUCAUGAUUCACCUACAGAAUGGUUGCCCCCACUGCAAACAGUGCAUCUCCCAUGUAGCAUAUCCAGGAAGCUGAUUGUCUGCAUGAAAUAAUUUCCAUAACUUUGAAACUGUCCCACUUCCACAUGUUUGGAAUGAGAGAACCAGGGGCAAUGGUUAAAAAAAUUACACUACUAAAAAGUUAUUUUGCUUUAAACUAUUGUAUUGAGUUCAUUAAUACCUUCUGCUGUUGGUGAAAUGAUCCCCCAUUAACAUUUCAAUUUAUAAUUGCUGCUCCAUUAAUGAGACCACAAGAAAUGGAAGUGAGGCCUAUAAAUAUGCCGAGAGUAGAAGUCAUUAAUUGUAACAGCGUGCGCACUUUAUGAGGAAUGCUUGGGUACCACUGGCAUCCAAAACACCAUGGAAGGAUGGCUCUGCCUCAUAAGCAUCUGGCUUAGCAAACAACAGCUCAAAAAGUCCAAUUUUGCGGUCCAAAACCACAAUUCCUGGAACUACAGGUUAAAAAAUCAGCAGAGUCAAACCAGUCUUAACCCCAGCUGCUGAGUUCCAUGUGGUUCAUUGUCAAAACGCUUUUGGAGAAGAACUUUCUCAGCAAAGAUCACUGGGACUGUUAAACUUCAACAAGCAAAUCCUGCAGGAGGAAGGACUUGUCUCCAUGUCCUUUGUUUAAAAAAAAAUCCUUUAUUCCAUGUUAAAUAUCUGUUUACUGGCACCACAUCCAGUACCGGGGGAUAUUGAUCUCUUGAUAUUGCAUCACAUCUUCCAGGAAAAAGGACAGGCUACGAAUAGAGAAUUCCAGUCUUGGGAAAAAACAUUAGGAUUCAUUUGAGAAAUAAAUUUAUUGCCAGGUAGCCUUUUAGAUCCAUCAGCCUCCCACAGUUCCUCUGUUGAUAUUUUCUCCAAGAAGCAGUGAAUAUCCUCGAUGGGUCAAGAAACAUCCUUAUGCAAAUGGAAUUGCUGCAACUUGCAUUUUCAAUUAUUAAUAUUCCACUUCCCGUCUUACAAAGGUUUUCAGAAAAGGAGAAAAGCAGAAGCUCGUUCCCCCGGGAACAAAAACACAAAAUGUGAUACUUAACUGAGUAAGGAAAGGAAUGGUCCUUUCAACAUAGGGAUGUCAUAUCAUGCUAGCAACAUUUCUAUUUCUGCAUUUCAUUUCUCUCUACUGAUUAAAAAUUAUCAAUUCUACCCCAUUUUUUAAGCAUAGGUGACAGCAGUAGGCUUAUGCUAAAUGGAAUACAUAGCACAAUCACUAGCACUAUUAUCUUGCAUUGAACAAACUUGUAAUUAUUACAUUAUUUUUUUCUGAUUUAUUAUCCAGGAAUCUCAGAUUUCAUGACAGGGACUGGCUUGCUCUGAGGUCCUGCAAUGUCAGUGAGAAGAGAAUUGCAGUGAGACGAGAACUGCAGUCCAUGCUGCUUUGAAACAUUAACAGAAGAAAUUGUCUAAAUUAGCCAGUUUGCCAUGGCAGCAGUAGUAGGUUUGGGAAAAAACCUCAGACACCUUCAGUAAGAUGAAAUAAAACAAAAACAUGAAAAGCAAACUAUUUAAUGAGAGCACAGGCUAUUUCAAUAAAUCUAGUUAUUUGAUAAGCAGACUGCCACUGUCAGCCUUUUAUCAUCUGUGAAAAUGCAUGAUGGAUCUUUUCUGUUUACUUACAAUUUCAGACCUUCCCCUUCUGAUCAACAUCAGCAUUUUGCUCCAGUGCCUCUAAGGACAUGGAUUGCUAGCAACCAGCCAGAUUCCACCUUUCUGGAAGACUGACAACACAGGCAUGGCUCAGUGCUGUGUACAUAUGGCACACAGACAGGGUAGUUCAAGGCUGUUAAAUGCUCAACCUCUUCUGAGUUUGCCUGAAAGGAAUGAAAAGGGCUCCUGCUGUAAGUGUAUGGACAUAAAGCUGUAAUAAACAUUUAAUUU
rnacentral:lncRNA from 1 species